rnacentral:rRNA from 2 species
UUAUUGGGCGUAAGAGCUCGUAGGCGGUUUGUCGCGUCUGCUGUGAAAUCUGGGGGCUCAACCCCCAGCCUGCAGUGGGUACGGGCAGACUAGAGUGCGGUAGGGGAGAUUGGAAUUCCUGGUGUAGCGGUGGAAUGCGCAGAUAUCAGGAGGAACACCGAUGGCGAAGGCAGAUCUCUGGGCCGUAACUGACGCUGAGGAGCGAAAGCGUGGGGAGCGAACAGGAUUAGAUACCCUGGUAGUCCACGCCGUAAACGUUGGGAACUAGAUGUGGGGACCAUUCCACGGUCUCCGUGUCGCAGCUAACGCAUUAAGUUCCCCGCCUGGGGAGUACGGCCGCAAGGCUAAAACUCAAAGGAAUUGACGGGGGCCCGCACAAGCGGCGGAGCAUGCGGAUUAAUUCGAUGCAACGCGAAGAACCUUACCAAGGCUUGACAUAUACCGGAAACGGCCAGAGAUGGUCGCCCCGCAAGGUCGGUAUACAGGUGGUGCAUGGUUGUCGUCAGCUCGUGUCGUGAGAUGUUGGGUUAAGUCCCGCAACGAGCGCAACCCUCGUUCUAUGUUGCCAGCACGUUAUGGUGGGAACUCAUAGGAGACUGCCGGGGUCAACUCGGAGGAAGGUGGGGAUGACGUCAAAUCAUCAUGCCCCUUAUGUCUUGGGCUUCACGCAUGCUACAAUGGCCGGUACAAAGGGCUGCGAUACCGUAAGGUGGAGCGAAUCCCAAAAAGCCGGUCUCAGUUCGGAUUGGGGUCUGCAACUCGACCCCAUGAAGUCGGAGUCGCUAGUAAUCGCAGAUCAGCAACGCUGCGGUGAAUACGUUCCCGGGCCUUGUACACACCGCCCGUCAAGUCAUGAAAGUCGGUAACACCCGAAGCCAGUGGCCUAACCCCUUGUGGGAUGGAGCUGUCGAAGUGGGAUCGGUGAUUAGGACGAAGUCGUAACAGGG